rnacentral:SRP_RNA from 1 species
GCUGGGCAUGGUGGUGUGUGCCUGUAAUCCCAGCUACUUGGGAGGCUGAGGCAGGAGAACUGCUUGAACCUGGGAGGUGGAGGUUGCAGUGAGCCGAGAUGGCACCACUGCACUCUAGCCCAGGUGACAGAGCGAGACUCUGUCUCAA